rnacentral:tRNA from 1 species
GCCUGACUGGCUCAGUUGGUAGAGCAUGCAACUCUUAAUCUCAGGAUUGUGAGUUCGAGCCCCAUGUUGAGUG